AAUUCCAACACAAAUAAACCCAAAUAAUAGUAGAAACGGCGCCUCUCCCUCCCUCCCUCCGCCAAAUCGGCACUGCACGCACUCCCUUUCUAUCUCUCUCUUUCUCUCUCAAUUGGCGGAAUUGACUCGUUUUUCCCCACACCAAGAGUCGUAGUCCUCGCAGAUUUCGCGCCAUCGGUCUGCUCGCCCGGAGAAGAAAGCCGAGGACGCGGCUGUCUCGGAGUUUGGUCCCCGACGCGGCUGCUACUCGCCAUCAUCAGACGCCGUCGUCUCAUGCAGCAGGUCGCUGGUCCGGAUUCGUGGCCGCUGACUCGCGACCUUGCCGCCGCCGCCGCUCUCUAAUUGAAUUGAAGUAUUGUGAUUUGUUUCCCCGCCGCUCUCCGCUAUUCUCCACCGCCUGUUUCUCUCAGGCUCCAAGGUAUGGAUGGUACUAUAUCACAAGACUUUAUUCCUAAGAUAGGAAUGGAGUUUGAAACAGAAGUUGAGGCAUAUGAUUUUUAUAUGAAAUAUGCUAUGGCAACAGGUUUUGGAACUCGAAAAAUAGCUGCUCAUAAGGAUCCAAUUACAGGCAACCUUUUGGACAUUAGUUUUUGUUGUUGUAGACAAGGUUUUAGAGCAAGAGACAAUCGAGUUGUUACAGUCAAGAGACCUCGUCCUGAAAUUAGGUGCGGAUGUAAGGCUAUGUUGAAAAUCAACGGUAGAUACAGUGGAAAGUUUCGUAUUGUGAAAUUUGUUGAAGAACACAAUCAUGAAUUGUGUGAUCCAGACAAAUCUUACAUGUUUAGAUGUUAUCGGCAAAUGUCUAAUGUUCAACGAACUCAAGUUGAUGUUGCUCAAAGUUGUGGGUUGCCUCCAAAGAGAACUCUGGAUGUAAUGGCAAAAGAAUCUGGUGGAAUUCAACAUCUUGGUUUCACUCAUAUUGAUGUGAAGAAUUCUUUGAGAACUAAUAGGACUUUGGAGAUUAAACAAGGCGAUAGUGGAGGUGUUUUACAAUAUUUACAGAGGAUGAUAAGUGAGGAUCCACACUUUUACUAUGCGAUACAGUUGGACGUGGAAGAUCUAAUUACCAAUAUAUUUUGGACCGAUGGUAGAAUGAUACAAGAUUUUGGUCAUUUUGGGGAUGUUGUUUGCUUUGAUACUACCUGUAGAAAAUAUCGUGAUGGUAGACCAAUUGCUUUGUUCGUCGGCGUAAAUCAUCAUAAACAAACAAUUGUGUUUGGUGCAACAUUAUUAUACGAUGAAACAAUUGAAACCUUUGAGUGGUUGUUUAGUGCAUUUGAAGAUGCCAUGAUGGGAAAACGCCCAAAAACUAUCUUAACAGAUCAAGAUCAAGCAAUGAGCGUUGCUUUAGCUUCCAAGUGGCCAUCUACUCACCAUCGCUUGUGUGUUUGGCACAUUUUUCAGAAUGCAGCAAUCCAUCUUUCAAGUGUUUUUUCGAGUUUUAAGAACACAUUUGCAGUUGAUUUUAGUCGUUGUGUGUACGACCUUGAAGAAGAAUCGGAAUUCCUUGAGGCAUGGAAUGAAAUGUUAGAGAAAUACAGCUUACAAGAUAAUCAAUGGUUAACAAGUAUGUUUUCUCUAAGGGAAAAAUGGGCAUUGGUAUAUGAAAGAAAUACAUUUUGCGCUGAUAUCAUUACAACUCAACGAGGUGAGUGCAUGAAUGCCGUUGUGAAACAUUAUGUAAAUUACAAAUACAACAUUGUUGAGGUGUUCCAUCAUUUUCAAAGGUUGAUAGAUGAUCGACGCGAGAAAGAGGCUGCAGAAGAUUUAAAAAAUGCUCAAAGUUCUCCUGUCAUGACUUUUCCAUUAGAAACACUAAAGCAUGCAGCUGCCGUAUAUACACAUAAGAUAUUUGCACUAUUUAGCGAUGAGUUGAGGAAGGCAUUUGAAAGCAAGAUCGAGAGUGAGAGUGAACUUGGAAGUUCUAGGAUAUAUAAGGUUAGACCACUUGAUCGGGCUAAUGCACAUAUUGUCACAUAUGAUUCCAUUGAAGGUUCCAUUUCUUGCAGCUGUAGAAAGUUUGAAUUCUCGGGUAUUUUAUGCUCACAUAGUUUAAAAGUCUUUUCAUUAAUGAAUGUCAUUCAUAUACCUGAUGAAUAUAUCUUAAAGCGAUGGACCAAACAUGCUAAGAGUGGGAUGACAAGAGUUUGCAAGGAAGGAGUUGUCGUUGUUGAUGAAAAAACCCGAAAGAAACAACGAUAUAAAGAGUUAUGCAAUUCAUUCAUACAAUUGGCAGCCAAGGCAGCCGAGAGUGAAGAUAGUUAUGCUUAUGCCAUGGAAUGUCUCUUGAAGAUGGGAAACGACAUUGAUGGAAUGGUAGAGAAGGGAAAAAAUGUUACUGUUAAGGCAAAGAAGGUCGGAGAUGUAAAAGACUGAAGAAUCUUUGGAACAAGCUAUCAGUAAAAAAUGGAAACCAAAAGCAAUAAAGAGUGGUUUGGAACAUGCUUCUUCUACGCAUGAAUUUGAAGGGAUUGCACUCAUCAAUGAUGAGUACUGGAACUUACCUUACACUGCUUUUGAUCCUCAAAGUACAUCAUAAAUUUGGUGUGGACAGAGAUGCAAGCUUGCUUCAAAUGAAGAAGAGCAAACUAUCUGGAUUAUUGUUUUGCUAUUUUUGAAUUUUUCAUGCACAAAACUAGAAUUUUAUUGAGCUUGAACUGGAAAAAAUUUGAUGAACUCAAUUAGUUUGUUGUGAACUAUUUUUAAAUUUUAUGGUCAAUUUCAUGAUUUCAAUAUAUUUGCUGCUUGGUUGGAGUAUAUUUGAAAUUUUGCAGUUGCUGCUUUAUGAGAAAAUAAUCCAGAAAUAGUGAUUCUUUAAUGGGAGUAAUUGAUUGUGCAGUGCUGUUCUUUUCAUAAACCGGAGUAUAUAUGUACUGGAGUAAUAUUGUGACUGAAGGAAUUUGUAAGUAGCAGUGAAUUAGUGCCUUUAGCAACUUUGAUUGUGUAAUGAAUAUGUACGGGAGUAUAUAUGUAAGGAAUUUGUAAGUGGCAGUGAAUUGAUUGUGUAGUGUAGCUCUUUUCAGAAAUUAGUUUUCAGAAACUUCAGCAGAGGGAGAACUAGCUUCUCGUUAGUGAAGACAUUGGAGAGAAAUUGUUUUGAAUGUAAAUCUGUUUUAGGAUAGUAAGAAUUUUAGUAGGCUUUUUUAUAUAUAUAAAAUUAUCCACAUGUCAAUAUUAUAUAUUAGUGUAUAAGGAGAUGGAGGAGGAAAUGGCAUAUGCGAUCCUUGCUGCUAUUCGAUUUAUUAUGCUUGUUUUGUUUUGAUUGGAAAAUGUGGAAGGCUUUCUCUCUCCUAUCCAGGAGGUAUAUACAGUUAGGGAUUCAAAUUGUUCAGUCUAAUCUUCUGAAUUAGGUAUAUCAUUAUAAGAUGCAAUAUCAGUCCAUUUCUAUUGAAAUACAGCUGACAUUUGAAGUUUGUUGGGAAAGGAUUGGCUUAUUUCAUGGAUUGGGAUGAAUUUAACUACCUUUAUUAUUAACAUUUGGUAUUGGCUUAUUUCAUGGAUAGGGAUGAAUUUACUACCACACAGCCCCAGACGCAACAAAUAGCUCAUAAUCUGGACUGCAUUAUUAGCUCUUUUCAUCAUCAUUUCGUUACUCUAUUUCAAUUUCGAAGAUCUUGGGCUUAUGUUGAUUUGGAAUACUUGUAGGUCUAUCUGGCAGCCAGCGAGCAUUGUACAUUGUAAGCUUCCUUUCCAUGGCACUUAUUUGUUCUCUUUAUAUAUAGAUUUUGACUUUUACAGUUAUUUUUUAUUUUUGUCUGGAUUUGUUCCCUAAGUUGAUUUGUGUGGUUUUAGAUAUUUCAGAAUGAUGAAUUUAUUUCUAAAUUUUGCUGGUUGUUUUGUGUUGCCGUCUAGAAGUAAGUAAUAGUAUCCUUUAUCAUCAUUUUAUUAUUAUUCAACACAAUUUUUUUUCUUUUGCUUGAAUCUUGAUCUUUUAUUGCAGAUAUGCACAGAGAAGAAAACCACAUUAUCUGUUGAAGACAUCAUUUCUUUGAUUGAUAAUAAGUGUGAUGGAGUUAUUGGACAAUUGACUGAGGAUUGGGGGGAGAGAUUGAUUAGUGCAUUGAGCAGAGCGGGUUGGGCUGUAGGAUACAACAACGUUGAUGUUGAUGCUGCUAAUAAAUAUGCUGUUGCUGUCGGAAAUGGUAACUAAUUUAUUAGAUCAACGAAAUGUGAAAAAUAUGCAAGAAUAUGUUUGUUGUUGUUGAUGAUUAGGGAGUGCUGACAGAGACUACAGCAGAGUUAGCUGCUUCACUCUCUUUAGCUACCGCCAGAAGAAUUGUGGAGGCUGGUGAAUUCAUGAGGAGUGGCUUGUAUGAUGGAUGGCUUCCUCAUUUCUUUGUUGGGAACUUACUAAAAGGACAAACUUUGGAGCAGGUCACAUUGGAUCUGCCUAUGCAAGAAUGAUGGGUUCAAGAUGAACUUGAUCGACUUUGAUCUCUACCAGUCCACUCGUCCGGAGAAGUUCGCUACUGCCUAUGGGGACUUCCUCAAGGCGAAUGGAGAGGCGACGAUGUAUCAUCUGGUGAAUAAGGAGAGGCCGGUGAUGAUGAAGAAGGCAAGUUGCAAUAGUGCGAGAGAAAGCGGAUACGAGGGCAGUAGUUAGGGAACAACCGAUGGAAGAACAAAUGAUGCAUCUUUUAUUAGUUAUUAUCAUCAUUUUAUGGGAAUACGAUUUUUAUUAUUUUACUUAAAUAAGUGCUGUGAAUCUGUGAUAUAGUUUUAUAAAUGAGUAAAGAUAUUCAGAAAACUUGGAA